rnacentral:misc_RNA from 1 species
UUUUUUUUUUUACUGCCUUUCUAAUCUUAUGGGCGCAGUGUCUAUAAACACUUAUCAUUCUCGUUCUCUUGCUCUAAGCUGAAAAACAAAGAUCCUUGCUUUUUUCUCUCGCUACAGCUGCAGCACAUAUCUUCAUUUUCUUCGUUUAGUGUGUUAGUGGAAUAAAUGGCAAAUGCAUCUGGAUUAUUUACCCCUUCAGUUC